rnacentral:rRNA from 1 species
GACGAACGCUGGCGGCGUGCUUAACACAUGCAAGUCGAACGGAAAGGCCUGCUUUCCCUUGUGGAUUGCGGGUACUCGAGUGGCGAACGGGUGAGUAACACGUGAGUGAUCUGCCCCCAACUUGUGUAUAAGCCUGGGGAACUGGGUCUAAUUCCCGAUAGGACUGCAGUGUGGUGCCUGUGGUGGAAAACGAUUUUCUAGUGGUUGGGGAUGAGCUCGCGGCCUAUCAGCUUGUUGGUGGGGUAAUGGCCUACCAAGGCGGCGACGGGUAGCCGGCCUGAGAGGGUGGACGGCCACAGUGGGACUGAGAGACGGCACAGGCACCUACGGGAGGCAGCAGUGGGGAAUAUUGCAAAAUGGGGGGAAGCCUGAUGAAGCGACGCAGCGUGGGGGAUGACGGGCUUCGGGUUGUAAACUCCUUUCGACCGCGAGGAAGCCACCUGGUUGGGAGGGUGGUGACGGUAGUGGUAGAAGAAGCACCGGCUAACUACGUG